rnacentral:rRNA from 1 species
UACGGGGGGAGCAAGCGUUGUUCGGAUUUACUGGGCGUAAAGGGCGCGUAGGCGGCCACCGCAAGUCGAUUGUGAAAUCUCCGGGCUUAACUCGGAAAGGUCAACCGAUACUGCGGGGCUAGAGUGCAGAAGGGGCAACUGGAAUUCUCGGUGUAGCGGUGAAAUGCGUAGAUAUCGAGAGGAACACCUGCGGCGAAGGCGGGUUGCUGGGCUGACACUGACGCUGAUGUGCGAAAGCCAGGGGAGCAAACGGG